GAAGUUGGAGCAGCAGAAGCUGGGAACCAGAGCUUCAUUCUUGGAACAUUGGCACAUGCUGUGUGUUUCCUGAGACCCAAAUAACCUCAGAUAUAUACAGUGUACUUGCCACUGGAUUCCAUCAUGUCAAACCAGGAUUCCUGAAGUUCUUGUUUAUUUCUGCUGUCUAAACCCAUUACCUUCCACCUCCUAAAGGACUCAACACCACAGCUUUCAAGUCAAGGCCAAAGACACUAACUACAUCUCCAGAAUCAAGUGUACGAUUUGAAAAAUGAUUGCACUUUGAUGUGCUUGCUUUUCUCUCAUGGAAAUGAUUCUCAAUCAUAAUUGUCAAUCUUGACUCAAUUCAAAGCCUGAUAUACACAGAGACUAGUAUGUUAAAGUACUCAAGCCACCAAAAUGAAAGGUAGUCACUAAAAACAAAUUAUAUUGGUUUUGAUUCACUGUGCAUAUGAUAUAGAUGAAGCAGUGAAUAAUUCCUUUUCUCAGUUCAAAGCUAAACUUUGGAGGCAGCGUGUUUUCCUGGAUGUUUAACUAAAUCUUCUCAGCUAACAUUACUAGGUCAAAGCAACAAAAUUCCAAAACACUAUUGUAUUUAGAAAUACAGUGGAUUCUCACUUGUGAGGAUUCCACACUUUAAAGAAUAUUUGCAGCUCAGUGUUUGACCCCAUAGUGCAUGCCUUCCUCUGGAAUCUAGCAGAUGACAGGUACUUAUCUAAAUUCCAACCAACUUUUCUAGCCACAUGUGCAACUGCUAUACCUGAUCAAACACACUGAUGAUUCUGACACAAAGGCCAGAUUUCCUCUAAAUGCUCAUGUCUCUGGGUCUUUGCCAUAUAAUUCUUCAGCCAGGUUGUCUUUCAAUCAUCUUUCCUAACAAAGCUCUAUGCAGUUAAAAGGUCUAAUUUGUCAAGCAGAUGGCCCAAUUCUGCUGCUACUAUUCUACUACACACAUACACACACACAUACGCACAAACACACUCAUUUCCAGUAAAAACCAAUUACUAUGGCUUCUAAAUGUCGAUAUUAUGGGUAUCUAUAUUAUUAUACUUUUCUAUUUUUGCCUUGACUUUAAAUAAAUUGCAGAAGUCUGUUUCUUCCUUACCCUGACAACGUCACUACCCCACAUAACAU
rnacentral:lncRNA from 1 species